GCCGGGCGCGGUGGCACGUGCCUGUAGUCCCGGCUACUCAGGAGGCUGAGGUGGGAGGAUCGCUUGAGCCCGGGACCUCUGGGCUGCAGUGCGCUAUGCCAAUGGGGUGUCCGCACUAAGUUCGGCAUCAUUAUGGUGACCUCCCGGGAGCGAGGGACCACCAGGUUGCCUAAGGAGGGGUGAACCGGCCCAGGUCGGAAACGGAGCAUGUCAAAACUCCUGUGCUGAUCAGUAGUGGGAUCACGCCUGUGAAUAGCCACUGCACUCCAGCCUGGGCAACAUAGCGAGACCCUGUCUCU
rnacentral:SRP_RNA from 1 species